rnacentral:misc_RNA from 1 species
ACGAUGCGCCAGCUCAACGGAACGAGUGUUUUGGUUCAUCGCUUCAUCAGUCACCACCCCGACAGAGACCGCCACCGUUGUCAAGCAUGUUGGGUGCACCGAGUCCGGCAGCAGACGAUUUCAGACGCCGUCUUGCACGGCUUCAGGGGGUGAAGGGCGGACUAGGCAGCAGAGACACUAACGGGCCGAAGAUCCUGGCAGCCCUCUCCGCGCCGAGGGGCAGAACCAGCCGCGAGAACCCUCAAAGAGCUCUGAAGGCAGGGCUGCCCGUCGAGUGGCUGAUAGAGGGACAAGACAAUGAGGUGCUCACAGGGGUGGAAGCUUGCCACGCGGGAAGGCGACACGCCACGGGGCUGCCUUUUCCUCUGCCAGAGUGCACGCCAAUGCAGCUGUGUUGCGCGUGCCGUCGACUGACCACGCUCACGGACGACCUGGCCGGAGGAGGGCUGUACCGCCAAGUCAGCACUGCGGAGAGAAGCGACUGCUGCAUUCCCCUGCACACGCGACAUCGCUGGCCAGCCGGUAUCCCCGCAUGGGGGUCGACUCGCCGCAAGGCACGGCAGCGUACUUUUGGCUUCGCCUCCGUCCGUCAUCGUGGGGGCCGGACGUACGCAAGACCUUCUCGAGGAUCGCGGCACAGCGGCCUCUGACCUUCGUCAGGUACAUGGCGCAACAACGCCUCGGCGCUGACUGCGAGGGCUUCUCAUGUUGAUCUAUGUGUUCGCAGACGCAUCAGAUGAAGCGGUACGACGGCCCCCAAGACCGCACCCAUGCCGCUUGCGCCCCGGUCUUCCACAGGGAUACAGCGAAAGGCGGCCUGGGGAGGCGAGGCUUCCGUGCACGGCUACGUGGACUUCCGUAACUGCAAAACCGAACAGACGCCUCCACAAAGGGCAGGGGGCCGUGUCCUCCCCUUUCCUUAUCAUGUGCGGCCGGUUUGACACCGAGGAGAACGUCCCGCUGGAGUAAUCCGAGGCAACUCAUGGCUGAGCGUCGCGAGGAGGACCUGAAAAGCGUCGACCAAUCGUGUCCCGCUACGCAACGAUGCACAGCGCGCUGACACCCCCGUGCCGCUGUGUGCUGAUCGGGGGCAACCCAUGAACACCGAGGAAUCGCCGGAAUGGUCAGCAGUGCACGGCAGGAUGGCACCGGUUGAUGGGCAGCGAGAUUCCAAAUCGGGCGCCACACGUGCCCGGUGGGUCUGACCUACAGAGGAGGGUCAGGGCCAACCACCUCGUGAGGCCCGUACCCGGUGGCAUCCCGCCUCAGCAGGCAGGACGGUUUGACGCUGGCGGAACCGACCGAGCCAGCGCACGAGCAAGCAGACCUCGUGCAAGGACCUCGCAGCGGCCAAGAAUAAGACGAGGCGGGCGGGGCGCGCUCAAGGACGUCGACCCGGACCUGAAGCUGGCCCCAGUACGCAAAGCAGUGGCCCACCAUCUGGCGCAGAUCGGGAAGGGGGUCCUAAAGGAGGACAUGAUGCAACCAGCCAGACAUGCAACGAUCGAAACGGUGCGGCGACACCUGGGCUACUCCCAGCAACCUACGUUGGAGGCUGUUUGAGUGCAGCACAACGCCUCAGUCUUCCUCUCCAAGACCCAACGGGGUAGGCCGCACGCCGCCAAACGUUCAUGAAUUCUCGGCAUUGCCGCUAGCGAGUCGCCCGAGGGAAUUUGGGUGCUCCGGGGGGCCAGGGCGCGGCCACCCCCUCAAGCUGGCUGCCACAGCAGAAAGAUUUGGCUUGGCUAGAUGUUCAGGCAAUCACCCACUUAGCAGCAGCAAUGAGGAAAUCAGAUGAAGGCCUGCGGGAGGCAUUCGUGUGCGUAGCGCCUCUCCCUUCCCUGCCUCAAUCACCCCCGCAUGCCUCUCGCACGAUUCGGUCUACCAGGCCGGGGCGGGUGGAUUUGGAUCUCUCAAUGCGAAGAAAGGUAAUCUCGGGCGAUGCUCAGGCGGCCUGCGCCACGCGCUCGUGCAGGAUGCUCACUUCGUUAUCGUGCUCUGGGUGCCAGAGCACAAAGACAGAAGAAGGCUGAUCCCGUAGCCUGCACGCGACGGUGUGCCUGUGUGUGUGUGUGUGUGUGUGUGUGUGUGUGUGUGUGUGUGUGUGUGUGUGUGUGUGCCUCUGCCGGCGGUGGGGACGGCGGCGCCGUCCUCCCUUUUCGUUACAUCGGCUCCCCCCCUUUACGCAGAGGUGCACGUUGACAGUGUUCCCAAGGCAAGAACAGUCGCGGCUGUAGCGGACGAUCUUCUCUUCUGAGCCUGCGUCUUCCUGUCGUGUGGUGUGUGUUCAUGUGUGCCCUCUCGCCACGCUCGCUGACAGACAUGUGCACCGGCGCUAUGGUGCAGGCGUGCCUUGGACACUGAAUGCUGACGAUGAACUCGCGCGCUCUCUCCUCACCUCCCGCUGAGCCAGCAAGGAAGUGUGCACCCAUCCUUUCGGAAGAAAUGACGCAAGAUCCCUGUCCUUUGCUCGUCCUCAUCGUUAGUCGCUGCACGCCGGUCUCGGGGACAUAACGGUGCGACGAGAUGGGAGGGAGGUGGUGGUGGGGGGGUGCGAUCGAGUUUCUUCCUUUCGCUGUUCUGUGCCGGAGCGAUCGUUAUUGCACCAGUCAUUGCUAUGCCUCGUCUCAAGUCCAUUGGAGGCGCAGUACCAGGGACCUCACGGCCCCUUUCUUAUUUCUACUGUCUCUGUCUCCAGAGCAGGAUCCACCCAUCUGACCUCGCCCUCUUUGCCUCUCCACCAGGUGAGGCAGGGAGCUGAAAGGACGGGUGGCUCCCCGAUCUCGGCACCACACAGGCACAGGCAUAUGCGUGUAUCAGCGCUCUUGUGUAAUGGGCGCGCUUUAUGCCAGCCGGGUACGGGCCCCGGUGCAACCCCUUCUACCCCCUCUACUAUCUUGUCUCUCACGCUGGCGAAGAAAUGAGGGUGCUCAUACGCAGGUGCCUUCACCAGCGAUCAAAGAGAGGAAAACAUCGGCGCGUCUGCUUGAUCGCGUGCGCCCUGCCACUGCGUGCUCGCUCUGCCGCGCCCCUUCCUUCCCCUCCCCCUCUUUCGAGUGUACACAUGCAUCGAUACACGCAGACCCGCAUGUAGAUAUAGGUGUCCAUGAGUGUGUAUGCAGGUAUGCACAUUUCUAUGCAUGCGUGUCUGCUUGUGUGCAUACCUUUACUUGCUUUGAUGUCCGUCUCUCCUAGUGUCUGCGCCCUGGAUGCCGCCGCUCUUCGUGCUUGUGCGCGCGUGGGUGUGCCUUGGUGUGCUCAAAGGCUGCUAAACACACACACAUACAAAAAAAGGUAGGAGGCCCCAGACUCAUCAGGCCCGCCUUGCAUUCCUCCAUUUUCAAGUGCUCCCCCGUUUGCUUGUCUCUCUCUCCAUGAGCCGCUCGGCGCGGGGGAGGGGACUCGCUUUUUCGAGGCGCGACAACAUCUGCGCGAGUGCGACACUCUCAUUGUGUCGUACACCUCUUACCCCACCUUCUUCCUUCCCUCUCUGCAACGUGUCUCUGCUGCUUUUCUUCGCCUCGCUUUCCCUGGCUCCUCUCAUUGCCCACGUGCUUGUGUCUCCGAACAG